GAAUGCUGACAUAAGUAACGAUAAAGCGGGUGAAAAGCCCGCUCGCCGGAAGACCAAGGGUUCCUGUCCAACGUUAAUCGGGGCAGGGUGAGUCGACCCCUAAGGCGAGGCCGAAAGGCGUAGUCGAUGGGAAACGGGUUAAUAUUCCCGUACUUGGUGUUACUGCGAAGGGGGGACGGAGAAGGCUAUGUUGGCCGGGCGACGGUAGUCCCGGUUUAAGCGUGUAGGCUGGUUUUCCAGGCAAAUCCGGAAAAUCAAGGCUGAGGCGUGAUGACGAGGCACCACGGUGCUGAAGCAACAAAUGCCCUGCUUCCAGGAAAAGCCUCUAAGCAUCAGGUAACAUCAAAUCGUACCCCAAACCGACACAGGUGGUCAGGUAGAGAAUACCAAGGCGCUUGAGAGAACUCGGGUGAAGGAACUAGGCAAAAUGGUGCCGUAACUUCGGGAGAAGGCACGCUGACACGUAGGUGAAGUGAUUUACUCACGGAGCUGAAGUCAGUCGAAGAUACCAGCUGGCUGCAACUGUUUAUUAAAAACACAGCACUGUGCAAACACGAAAGUGGACGUAUACGGUGUGACGCCUGCCCGGUGCCGGAAGGUUAAUUGAUGGGGUCAGCGCAAGCGAAGCUCCUGAUCGAAGCCCCGGUAAACGGCGGCCGUAACUAUAACGGUCCUAAGGUAGCGAAAUUCCUUGUCGGGUAAGUUCCGACCUGCACGAAUGGCGUAAUGAUGGCCAGGCUGUCUCCACCCGAGACUCAGUGAAAUUGAACUCGCUGUGAAGAUGCAGUGUACCCGCGGCAAGACGGAAAGACCCCGUGAACCUUUACUAUAGCUUGACACUGAACAUUGAGCCUUGAUGUGUAGGAUAGGUGGGAGGCUUUGAAGCGUGGACGCCAGUCUGCGUGGAGCCGACCUUGAAAUACCACCCUUUAAUGUUUGAUGUUCUAACGUGGACCCGUAAUCCGGGUUGCGGACAGUGUCUGGUGGGUAGUUUGACUGGGGCGGUCUCCUCCUAAAGAGUAACGGAGGAGCACGAAGGUUGGCUAAUCCUGGUCGGACAUCAGGAGGUUAGUGCAAUGGCAUAAGCCAGCUUGACUGCGAGCGUGACGGCGCGAGCAGGUGCGAAAGCAGGUCAUAGUGAUCCGGUGGUUCUGAAUGGAAGGGCCAUCGCUCAACGGAUAAAAGGUACUCCGGGGAUAACAGGCUGAUACCGCCCAAGAGUUCAUAUCGACGGCGGUGUUUGGCACCUCGAUGUCGGCUCAUCACAUCCUGGGGCUGAAGUAGGUCCCAAGGGUAUGGCUGUUCGCCAUUUAAAGUGGUACGCGAGCUGGGUUUAGAACGUCGUGAGACAGUUCGGUCCCUAUCUGCCGUGGGCGCUGGAAGACUGAGGGGGGCUGCUCCUAGUACGAGAGGACCGGAGUGGACGCAUCACUGGUGUUCGGGUUGUCAUGCCAAUGGCACUGCCCGGUAGCUAAAUGCGGAAAAGAUAAGUGCUGAAAGCAUCUAAGCACGAAACUUGCCCCGAGAUGAGUCUUCCCUGAGACUUUGAGUCUCCUGAAGGAACGUUAAAGACGAUGACGUUGAUAGGCCGGGUGUGUAAGCGCAGCGAUGCGUUGAGCUAACCGGUACUAAUGAACCGUGAGGCUUAACCUUACAACGCCGAAGCUGUU
rnacentral:rRNA from 1 species